CCUACGGGUGGCAGCAGUGGGGGAUAUUGGACAAUGGGGGAAACCCUGAUCCAGCGACGCCGCGUGAGUGAAGAAGUAUCUCGGUAUGUAAAGCUGUAUCAGCAGGGAAGAAAGAAAUGACGGUACCUGAGUAAGAAGCCUCGGCUAACUACGAGCCAGCAGCCGCGGUAAGACGUAGGGGGCAAGCGUUAUCCGGAAUUACUGGGUGUAACGGGAGCGUAGACGGUAAUGCAAGUCUGGAGUGAAAGGCGGGGGCCCACCCGCCGGAUUGCUCUGGAAACUGGGUGCCUGGAGGGCAGGAGAGGCAGGCGGAAUUCAUGGUGUAGCGGUGAAAUGCGUAGAUAUUAGGAAGAACACCGGUGGCGAAGGCAGCCUGCUGGACUGUAACUGACGUUGAGGCUCGAAAGCGUGGGGAGCAAACAGGAUUAGAUACCCCAGUAGUC
rnacentral:rRNA from 1 species